AGCCGCGGUAACACCAGCUCCAUUAGUGUAUAUUAAAGUUGUUGCAGUUAAAAGCUCGUAGUUGGAUUUCUGGUUUAGAUAGCCUGGCCCGAGGGUUCUUUUUGAGAUCCUUGUGUGCCGAUUAGGACCCAUGUUUUGGCUUGCUUAGUGUUGCUGUCCCUCCCUGCGCGUUUUUUCAACCCAGGGUUGCGGAUGCUGCUUUGUAGGCUCUUGGACUCCUUGCUGUCUCACCAUCCUUCAGAAAAACUGUUCUACCAUUAAUUUGGAGGGGCAGCGAUUCUGAUCGUUUACUUUGAAAAAAUUGAGUGUUCAAGGCAGGCAUUUGCGCUGUGAAUAUCUUAGCAUGGAAUAAUAAGAUAGGACUUUGGCCCAGCUAGUCGUUUUCGCGGGUCAUGCCUUCACGGGCGUGGCUUUUUGCGUGGCGGCUGGUUCAUUUUGUGGUUUCUAGAGCCGAAGUAAUGAUUGAUAGGGAUAGUUGGGGGUGCUAGUAUUGCGGGCCAGAGGUGAAAUUCUUGGAUUCUGGCAAGACUAACUUAUGCG
rnacentral:rRNA from 1 species